GGGCCUGUGGUCUAGUGGCUAUCCAAUAAGGGACCAUAAAUGACAUCUCCUCGACAUGGAGGGAAUCGCCGGUUCGAGUCCGGCCAGGCCCA
rnacentral:tRNA from 1 species